rnacentral:sRNA from 1 species
AUAUUAGUGAUCUACCUAAGACUCAGGUGGCCUAUUGGUCUUAAUUUCCUGCCGAGGAAGAAGUUUAUCAUGAACUUUUGACUCUCUAUGUCUUGGUGGCAUAGGGAUUUUUUUAU